ensembl:lncRNA
CGAGGACCGGGCCCGGUCCCCACCGCCAGAGCCGGUCGACUCGGAAGACCAGUGGGGAAAAGGCCAGCCCGGCGGCCGAGCCCGUCGCGCCCUCCACGGGCCUCCCCCGCAAGGCCCCGGCCGGUCCCCCACCUCCGGAGCGGGGCGCGGAAAGGGGAUCGGCGACGCGGAAGGCCCGACCACCGGGCCGCCCUCAGGACGACGGCCGGGCACGGGACGAGUUCCCUCGCCCGUUCCCCCGCGGUGGCCCCCCACCCCCUCCCGGGGACGGAGGGGCACCGGCGGCUGCUGGUCGACCCGUCCGGGAGGCCCCACACCCCGGCCGGCACCGGGCGGCGCGGCGACAGCCACCUCCCUCAGUAGCCUGCACCUCCAAUCUCCGGCGAGCGGGCGUCGCGCUCACGCACCGGCGCCACCGGGCCAGAUCCCGCCAGCGACGCCGGCCUCCCGGGACUCUGCCUCGGUCACCGCGGCCGAGUCCCGUCCCUUGGCCCGCGUCGCCGGAGCUCCGGAGGAAAGAGACGAUAUAAAAGCGGCCGCCAGGUGGCACCCGGCGACCGGCGACCGCCUCAGCGGGACGGAGCCGGAGCGCGGGCCCGCCGGGGAGCACAGCCGGGCCGCCGGGCCGCCAGAUCCCGUCCCGGCGCCCCCGGACCCAGCCUCCCGGCCCAGCUCGGCCCCGGGGCGUCCGCCCGCGGGCUCCGGCCGCCAAGGCGCAGCCCCAGCCGCAGGAGGGGGACCCGGAAAAGGUUUCUCGGGCGCUCACCGGGAAGGGGACGGGGAGAGUUCCCCCAGAGAGGCCAGGGGUCGGCCCGGGCCGGGCUGAGCCGGUGCGGCCGGGAGGCCGCCGCUUCCCGGAGCGGCCGGAGCGCCCCCGGGGCUCCCGGGAGGACUUAGAAAAUCAGGGCGGGCGGGGACGGUCAAACCGAAACCAGGCACGUCAUCCGAGAAGGACCGUGAUGACGGGAGGAGGAAAGCUUUCAAGCGCAGAGGGUCUGUCGAAGGCAGGCGGAGAGUCUACCCGCUGAAACGGACGAAGAUGGGAAAAAGAGGCUAGCUGAGGUGCCGACAUUUAAGGAAAUUAAAAAAAAAAAAAAAGCACGAGGGCGUGGAGAACUGGGGGAAAAUCAACACUGAGAAAUCUACCCUCUGAAACUGACGAAGAUGGGCAACAGGGGCUAGCUCGGGUGGCAAUCUUUAAGCAGAACACACACACACACACACACACACACACACACACAGGCGUAGAGACCUGGGGAAAAAGCAACGCUGAGAAAUCUACCCUCUGAAACUGACGAACAUGGGCAACACAGGCUAGCUCAGGUGGCAAUCGUUAAGCAAAAAAAUAAAUAAAUAAAAUAAAAAACUACAAUGGCGAGGAGACCCGGUGAAAAAGCAACCCUGAAAAAAGGUACCCUCUGAAACGGAGGAAGCAGGGCAACAGAGCCUAGCUCAGGUUGGAACCUUUAAGCAGAAAAGAAAGACACCAGGGCGUGGAGAGCUGGCGAAAAAAGCAACACUGAGAAAACUACCCUCUGAAACUGAGAAAGAAGCGCAACAGAGGCUAGCUCAGGUGGCAAUCUUUAAGCAAAAGAAACACACAAGGGCGUGGAGACCUGGGGAAAAAGCAACACUGAGAAAUCUACCCUCUGAAACUGAUGAACAUGGGCAACAGAGGCUAGCUCAGGGGGCAAUCGUUAAGCAAAAGGAAAACACAAAGGGCGUGGAGACCUGGGGAAAAAGCAACACUGAGAAAUCCACCCUCUGAAACUGACGAAAAUGGGCCACAGAGGCUAGCUCAGGUGGCAAUCGUUAAGCAAAAGAAACACACAAGGGCGUGGAGACCUGGGGAAAAAGCAACACGGAGAAAUCCACCCUCUGAAACUGACGAAGAAGGGCAACAGAUGCUAGCUUAGGUUCAAUAUUUGAGCAAAAAAAAAAAAAAAAAAAAACCCACACACAAGGGCGUGCAGAACUUGGGAAAGAGCAAGACUGAGAAAUCUACCCUCUGAAACUGACAAAGAUGGGCCACAGAGGCUAGCUCAGGUGGCAAUCGUUAAGCAAAAGAAACACACAAGGGCGUGGAGACCUGGGGAAAAAGCAGCACUGAGAAAUGUACCCUCUGAAACUGACGACGAUGGGCAACAGAGGCUAGCUCACGUG